AUGGUGCGAACCACAAUUAAUCCUAUUUGGAGUAAGGUAUGGAAGUUAUCAUGUCCGGCAAAAGUCAAAAAAAUUAUAUGGCGUAUAUUACAUGGAACACUUCCAUGCCGGGUUACGCUCGCUAAUAGACAUAUGAAGGUCACACUCAUUUGUCCUACUUGCUCUGAGGUUUCCGAAGAUACAAAGUACAUGCUUUUCCUUUGCGGUAGAGCAAAGAAGGUUUGGACAUGGGGAUGGAUGAUAUCAUUGAUAAAGCUUGCAAGGUUGACCUUGCUGGAGAGGUGGUGUUGGAGUACCUACUACUUCUACCAGAUCAAGAAUUAA
rnacentral:rRNA from 1 species